UACAGAGACUGCAAGCGUUAAUCGGAAUUACUGGGCGUAAAGUGUGCGCAGGCGGCCGAGCAAGUCGAGUGUGAAAUCCCCGGGCUUAACUUGGGAAUUGCGCUCGAAACUACUUGGCUUGAGUGUGGCAGAGGAAGGUGGAAUUCCACGUGUAGCGGUGAAAUGCGCAGAUAUCAGGAGGAACACCGGUGGCGAAGGCGGGUCUCUGGGCCGAUACUGACGCUGAGGAGCGAAAGCGUGGGGAGCGAACAGG
rnacentral:rRNA from 1 species